UACCCGCAGCUCAAGUGGUGGUCAUUAUUAUUGUGCCUAAAGCGUCCGUAGCAGGCUUGUUAGAUGCCUGGGUAAAUCGAUGCGCUUAACGCAUCGAAUUCCGGGUAGACCGGCAAGCUCGAGACCGGGAGAGGUGUAGGCUACUCGAGGGGUAGGGGUAAAAUCCUGUAAUCCUUCGGGGAGGACCAGUGGCGAAGGCGCUACACUAGAACGGCUCUGACUGUGAGGGACGAAGCCCUGGGGCGCAAACCGG
rnacentral:rRNA from 1 species